AUUGAACGCUGGCGGCAUGCUUUACACAUGCGAGUCGAACGGUAACAGGCCGCAAGGUGCUGACGAGUGGCGCACGGGUGCGUAAUGCAUCGGAACGAGCCCAGUCGUUGGGGAUAACUACUCGAAAGAGUAGCUAAUAUCGCAUACGAUCUAUGUCUGACAGCGUGGGACCGUAGGGCCUCGCGCGAUUGGAGCGGCCGUUGUCAGAUUAGGUAGUUGGUGGAGUAAAGGCUCACCAAGCCAACGAUCUGUAUCUGGUAAGAGAGGACGACCAGCCACACUGGGACUGAGACACGGCCGAGACUCCUACAGGAGGCAGCGUUGAGGAAUGUUAGACAAUGGGCGCAAGCCUGAUCCAGCAAUGCCGCGUGCAGGAAGAAGGCCUUCGGGUUGUAAGCUGCUUUUGUACGGAACGAAGCGGCUCUGGUUAAUACCCGGGGCUAAUGACGGUACCGUAAGAAUAAGCACCGGCUAACUCCGUG
rnacentral:rRNA from 1 species